rnacentral:rRNA from 1 species
GAUGAACGCUAGCGGCAGGCCUAACACAUGCAAGUCGAGGGGUAACGGGGUGCUUGCACCGCCGACGACCGGCGCACGGGUGAGCAACGCGUAUAGAACCUACCCGUUACAGGGGGAUAG